rnacentral:rRNA from 1 species
CGGCGGCAGCUUACACAUGCAGUCGAGCGCACUCUUCGGAGUGAGCGGCGGACGGGUUAGUAACGCGUGGGAACGUGCCCUUCUCUAAGGAAUAGCCACUGGAAACGGUGAGUAAUACCUUAUACGCCCUUCGGGGGAAAGAUUUAUCGGAGAAGGAUCGGCCCGCGUUAGAUUAGAUAGUUGGUGGGGUAAUGGCCUACCAAGUCUACGAUCUAUAGCUGGUUUUAGAGGAUGAUCAGCAACACUGGGACUGAGACACGGCCCAGACUCCUACGGGAGGCAGCAGUGGGGAAUCUUGGACAAUGGGCGCAAGCCUGAUCCAGCCAUGCCGCGUGAGUGAUGAAGGCCUUAGGGUCGUAAAGCUCUUUCGCCAGAGAUGAUAAUGACAGUAUCUGGUAAAGAAACCCCGGCUAACUCCGUGCCAGCAGCCGCGGUAAUACGGAGGGGGUUAGCGUUGUUCGGAAUUACUGGGCGUAAAGCGCACGUAGGCGGAUCAGAAAGUAUAGGGUGAAAUCCCAGGGCUCAACCCUGGAACUGCCUUGUAAACUCCUGGUCUUGAGUUCGAGAGAGGUGAGUGGAAUUCCGAGUGUAGAGGUGAAAUUCGUAGAUAUUCGGAGGAACACCAGUGGCGAAGGCGGCUCACUGGCUCGAUACUGACGCUGAGGUGCGAAAGUGUGGGGAGCAAACAGGAUUAGAUACCCUGGUAGUCC